rnacentral:rRNA from 1 species
UGGGAAUUUGGACAAUGGGCGAAAGCCUGAUCCAGCAAUGCCGCGUGUGUGAAGAAGGCCUUCGGGUUGUAAAGCACUUUUGUCCGGAAAGAAAUCCUUGGCUCUAAUACAGUCGGGGGAUGACGGUACCGGAAGAAUAAGCACCGGCUAACUACGUGCCAGCAGCCGCGGUAAUACGUAGGGUGCAAGCGUUAAUCGGAAUUACUGGGCGUAAAGCGUGCGCAGGCGGUUUGCUAAGACCGAUGUGAAAUCCCCGGGCUCAACCUGGGAACUGCAUUGGUGACUGGCAGGCUAGAGUAUGGCAGAGGGGGGUAGAAUUCCACGUGUAGCAGUGAAAUGCGUAGAGAUGUGGAGGAAUACCGAUGGCGAAGGCAGCCCCCUGGGCCAAUACUGACGCUCAUGCACGAAAGCGUGGGGAGCAAAACAGGAUUAGAUACCCUGGUAGUCCACGCCCUAAACGAUGUCAACUAGUUGUUGGGGAUUCAUUUCCUUAGUAACGUAGCUAACGCGUGAAGUUGACCGCCUGGGGAGUACGGUCGCAAGAUUAAAACUCAAAGGAAUUGACGGGGUCAUAGCUGUUUCCU